rnacentral:rRNA from 1 species
UACGGAGGGUGCAAGCGUUACUCGGAAUUACUGGGCGUAAAGCGUGCGCAGGCGGUUUGUUAAGUCUGUUGUGAAAUCCCCGAGCUCAACUUGGGAAUUGCAAUGGAUACUGGCAGGCUGGAGUAUGGUAGAGGAAGGUGGAAUUCCCGGUGUAGCAGUGAAAUGCGUAGAGAUCGGGAGGAACACCAGUGGCGAAGGCGGCCUUCUGGACCAAUACUGACGCUCAUGCACGAAAGCGUGGGGAGCAAACAGG